GAUGAACGCUGGCGGCGUGCCUAAUACGUGCAAGUCGAGCGAACGGACGAGAAGCUUGCUUCUCUGAUGUUAGCGGCGGACGGGUGAGUAACACGUGGAUAACCUACCUAUAAGACUGGGAUAACUUCGGGAAACCGGAGCUAAUACCGGAUAAUAUUUUGAACCGCAUGGUUCAAAAGUGAAAGACGGUCUUGCUGUCACUUAUAGAUGGAUCCGCGCUGCAUUAGCUAGUUGGUAAGGUAACGGCUUACCAAGGCAACGAUGCAUAGCCGACCUGAGAGGGUGAUCGGCCACACUGGAACUGAGACACGGUCCAGACUCCUACGGGAGGCAGCAGUAGGGAAUCUUCCGCAAUGGGCGAAAGCCUGACGGAGCAACGCCGCGUGAGUGAUGAAGGUCUUCGGAUCGUAAAACUCUGUUAUUAGGGAAGAACAUAUGUGUAAGUAACUGUGCACAUCUUGACGGUACCUAAUCAGAAAGCCACGGCUAACUACGUGCCAGCAGCCGCGGUAAUACGUAGGUGGCAAGCGUUAUCCGGAAUUAUUGGGCGUAAAGCGCGCGUAGGCGGUUUUUUAAGUCUGAUGUGAAAGCCCACGGCUCAACCGUGGAGGGUCAUUGGAAACUGGAAAACUUGAGUGCAGAAGAGGAAAGUGGAAUUCCAUGUGUAGCGGUGAAAUGCGCAGAGAUAUGGAGGAACACCAGUGGCGAAGGCGACUUUCUGGUCUGUAACUGACGCUGAUGUGCGAAAGCGUGGGGAUCAAACAGGAUUAGAUACCCUGGCAGUCCACGCCGUAAACGAUGAGUGCUAAGUGUUAGGGGGUUUCCGCCCCUUAGUGCUGCAGCUAACGCAUUAAGCACUCCGCCUGGGGAGUACGACCGCAAGGUUGAAACUCAAAGGAAUUGACGGGGACCCGCACAAGCGGUGGAGCAUGUGGUUUAACUCGAAGCAACGCGAAGAACCUUACCAAAUCUUGACAUCCUUUGACAACUCUAGAGAUAGAGCCUUCCCCUUCGGGGGACAAAGUGACAGGUGGUGCAUGGUUGUCGUCAGCUCGUGUCGUGAGAUGUUGGGUUAAGUCCCGCAACGAGCGCAACCCUUAAGCUUAGUUGCCAUCAUUAAGUUGGGCACUCUAAGUUGACUGCCGGUGACAAACCGGAGGAAGGUGGGGAUGACGUCAAAUCAUCAUGCCCCUUAUGAUUUGGGCUACACACGUGCUACAAUGGACAAUACAAAGGGCAGCGAAACCGCGAGGUCAAGCAAAUCCCAUAAAGUUGUUCUCAGUUCGGAUUGUAGUCUGCAACUCGACUACAUGAAGCUGGAAUCGCUAGUAAUCGUAGAUCAGCAUGCUACGGUGAAUACGUUCCCGGGUCU
rnacentral:rRNA from 1 species